rnacentral:rRNA from 1 species
UACCAAGUUGUUAAGAGCGUACGGUGGAUGCCUUGGCGCUAGGAGCCGACGAAGGACGCGGUAGGCUGCGAAAAGCCCCGGGAAGGAGCCAAACAUCCAUUGAUCCGGGGAUGUCCGAAUGGGGAAACCCACCAGUGGUCAUG